AUUGAACGCUGGCGGCAUGCCUUACACAUGCAAGUCGAACGGCAGCGCGGGGCAACCUGGCGGCGAGUGGCGAACGGGUGAGUAAUAUAUCGGAACAUACCCUAGAGUGGGGGAUAACGUAGCGAAAGUUACGCUAAUACCGCAUACGCACUAAGGUGGAAAGUGGGGGAUCUUCGGACCUCAUGCUCAUGGAGUGGCCGAUAUCUGAUUAGCUAGUUGGUGAGGUAAAGGCUCACCAAGGCGACGAUCAGUAGCUGGUUUGAGAGAACGACCAGCCACACUGGAACUGAGACACGGUCCAGACUCCUACGGGAGGCAGCAGUGGGGAAUUUUGGACAAUGGGGGCGACCCUGAUCCAGCAAUGCCGCGUGAGUGAAGAAGGCCUUCGGGUUGUAAAG
rnacentral:rRNA from 1 species